UUAGAUAAAGAUGAGAAAGAUUUAAGAUCAACUCCAAACCUGAGCCUGGAUGAUGUAAAGGUGAAAGUGGAAAAGAAAGAACAGAUGGAUCCUUGUAAUACAAACCCAACCCCAAUGACCAAACCCACUCCUGAGGAAAUAAAACUGGAGGCCCAGAGCCAGUUUACAGCUGACCUUGACCAGUUUGAUCAGUUACUGCCCACGCUGGAGAAAGCAGCACAGUUGCCAGGCUUAUGUGAGACAGACAGGAUGGAUGGUGCGGUCACCAGUGUAACCAUCAAAUCGGAGAUCCUGCCAGCUUCACUUCAGUCCGCCACUGCCAGACCCACUUCCAGGCUAAAUAGUAUGUUUUGGGGACAACACCUCAUUUUAAACGUUUAGUGGUAAUGUGGAUUAGCAUUUUGUCUCUCACCAGUAUUACACAGAUCCUUCGCUUAAGAGUGAAAUAUCUUUUUAUUAACGCCACUAUAAAUAAUAAAACAGUUAUAUUUAGGCAUGUGAACGUCGUUCAUCAUGUGUAUUUUAAAUUAUAACCUCUACCCUUUUGUAAUUAAUGUUAAGGUGAGCAGUUGAUGUUAAGGAGAACAAUUUUGUCGUCUCACCCAAAACACCCCAUAACAGGACUUUUAGAAAUACAAUAUUGGGUCAGAUUGUUUCCACAUAUCUUCCUUGAAAACUAAUCCUGUGAGUUGCAGAAAUAAAAGAUUCUGUACUA
rnacentral:sRNA from 1 species